GCGGCGGCGGCACCCGAGGCUCCGAGGCUCCUGCGCUCCAGCGCCGGCGGCUGCGCUCCCCUCGCCGCUCGCCCGGGCCGCCAGGAGAAGAAACUGAGGCCUGGAGUUUGAGUAAUUCGUUCAAGGUUACCAAGUUGAUAGAGGGACAAGAACAGAAUCACCAGCACUGGCUGAAGGUACCUUAACAUGGGGAAUCUUCUUAAAGUUUUGACAUGCACAGACCUUGAGCAGGGGCCAAAUUUUUUCCUUGAUUUUGAAAAUGCCCAGCCUACAGAGUCUGAGAAGGAAAUUUAUAAUCAGGUGAAUGUAGUACUAAAAGAUGCAGAAGGCAUCUUGGAGGACUUGCAGUCAUAUAGAGGAGCUGGCCAUGAAAUACGAGAGGCCAUCCAGCAUCCAGCAGAUGAGAAGUUGCAAGAGAAGGCAUGGGGUGCAGUUGUUCCACUAGUAGGCAAAUUAAAGAAAUUUUAUGAGUUUUCUCAGAGGUUAGAAGCAGCAUUAAGAGGUCUUCUGGGAGCCUUGACAAGUACCCCGUAUUCUCCUACCCAGCAUCUAGAGCGAGAGCAGGCUCUUGCUAAACAGUUUGCAGAAAUUCUUCAUUUUACACUCCGGUUUGAUGAACUCAAGAUGACAAAUCCUGCCAUACAGAAUGAUUUCAGCUAUUACAGAAGGACACUGAGUCGUAUGAGGAUUAAUAAUGUUCCAGCAGAAGGAGAAAAUGAAGUAAAUAAUGAAUUGGCAAAUCGAAUGUCUUUGUUUUAUGCUGAGGCAACCCCAAUGCUGAAAACCUUAAGUGAUGCCACAACAAAAUUUGUAUCAGAGAAUAAAAAUUUACCAAUAGAAAAUACCACAGAUUGUCUAAGCACCAUGGCUAGUGUGUGCAGAGUCAUGCUUGAAACACCGGAAUACAGAAGCAGAUUUACAAAUGAAGAAACAGUGUCAUUCUGCUUGAGGGUAAUGGUAGGCGUCAUAAUACUCUAUGACCACGUACAUCCAGUGGGAGCAUUUGCCAAAACUUCAAAAAUUGAUAUGAAAGGUUGUAUCAAAGUUCUUAAGGACCAGCCUCCUAAUAGUGUAGAAGGUCUUCUCAAUGCUCUCAGAAUGAAGGAUUAUGGGGCCGGCCAUGGGCUCAUCAGGAAAGAGGACCAGGAUUAAUUAGCAGGAUCUGCCCUGUGUACUGGAGGGAGGUGUGACUCCGUUCUGUGCAGGAGGAGGAAGCACAGAGAAGGCCGGACGCGCCCAGAGCUACGCAGCUGUCGGUGGUGGAGCCGUGAAUGGAGGCCAGGCUGUUCUGGAACCAGCCUCUGCUGACUCCCCAGGAAGAAUCCUGCUCCAGGGUAGGACCCUAGCCUAACUGGUGCCCCCCACCCCAGAUGUGGACAGGCAACUAAAGUCUGGGGGCCAUCCUGUGAAGGGGAGAAGAGGGUGUGUGAGCCAGUCCCGGGGAGCCCCACAGUCACCUGUGGCAGAAGCCCCACAAGGUAUCUCUGGGGCCAUCUUUCCCCAGAAGAUUCCAGAAGGUGGGAACUGUGCCGGCCUUGGAAGUGCUGCGUGGUCUUCAGUAAGACUACUCCCGUCCCCCUCAGUCUUCCUAAAACACAAUCCACUAAGGGUGGAUGGUGGUCUUCACUUACAGAAGGCGUUCGUGUGUGUUAGCUCGUCUUCCGGCCCGGUGGCUUUGCAAGGUGGUUAUUAAGCAGGACACGGUGAGGCCUGCCCAGGGCUGCCCAUGGCUGAACCAGGACGAGGACCCGGCCAGCCUGAUCCCCAGCGUGAGGCUCCAGCCACGAACAGCAUCUUUCUCCAGGCUCUCUCUUCUUCCCGACCCCAGCCCACGGGAGUCCUCUUACCUACUAGUGCUCCAAGAAUGCAGAGGAUGGCCCUGCCUUUCGAGGGUGACAGGCUGCCUGAGGGGUCCUGGAGGAUGCUUAGGAUGAGGUCCGCAGGGCCACCCAGCCGUCCCAGCACCCCAGUGUCCAGGGCCUGUUCCAGCUGCAGGAGAGCGGCGAGGAAGAGCAGGGAGAGGCAGCUGUGGGUCCCCUCCAUCCACGUUACUCUACCACCCAAGCUCCCGUCCCCAUGCUCUGGGUCCCCAGCCCUUCGUGAUGCCGGUGAAGCUGGGACGAGCCUGGGUUCAUUGCCAACAAUGCGGAACCAAGGUCCCUCCUUGGGCUUCAGGGAACAAACGCUCAGGGAGAUUCUGAUACGACAGCUGGUACGGGGCAGCACCCAGUCACCCCAGGGCCUUCUGAGGUUGUGUGCUACCAAGACCCAUAGCAUGUCCCGUGCCUGCCUCUCAUCCCCCUAGCCCAUCCCUCUCUCUCCUAGAUGCCAGCCCCCAGCCCGGGUCUGGCCGUUGAGCCCCUUACUGUGUCCUCGAGCUCCUGCGGUGCCCAAGGGUCCUGGAGCAGCUCUUGGAGGGCGCCCAGCAGUGGGUCCCGCAGCUCUGGGGGCAGCGUGGCCAGGUCCUGCAACUGGGCCCUAGCCUGCCUCUGCAGGCCCCGGAAGUCAGGCUCCGCACCUGGGGCCCGGCCAAAGGCCAUGCCUGUGGGGAGAGGCAUCGGCACCUGCUGGAGCCUUUCCCUGGGCUCCCUGCCCUGCGCCAGUCAGGCCCUGGUGUCCUGAACCUGACCAGGAGGUCCUGGGGUCACAGACCUGGCCCAGGGAAGCUCGUGUAUCAGGCAGAGCACAUCUUUAUGGGCUCACCUCUCCCUUCCUCCCUCCUUCCCUCCCCACCCCCCUUCCUUCUGAGCAUUUUCUGAGCACCUACUACAUAGCAGGUGCCCCCCACAGGGCUUAUCCUUGCCUCUCCCC